CAGGGCUGAGAUACAUGUCACUGUUGGAGC
rnacentral:piRNA from 1 species